rnacentral:misc_RNA from 1 species
GAUGAAGAACGCAGCGAAAUGCGAUACGUAGUGUGAAUUGCAGAAUUCCGCGAAUCAUCGAGUUUUUGAACGCAAGUUGCGCCCGAGGCUUGUCCGAGGGCAUUUCCGCUAGAGCGUCACCGCGCCCCCCCACCACACUCCCCUUAGGAGUUUGAGUGGAACUGGCCGUCCCGGGAAUCGGGUCGGCUGAAAUGGAGGGAAUUCGGCCGCCGUGGCAUCUCACUUGCCCCGCGAUCAGGUGCGAUCUCGUAAGAGUCUUCCAAGUGCGGGGCUCCCGGUGAGGGCCCGAGUGCGUGCGAGUUCCACAGCAGGCUACCUUUACCACUUGGGGGGGCCAGCAAUGGCCCCCCCCGGGGAAACGAAGGACAAAGAGAGGUAACGCAUCGGACCUCUAAUCGGAAAAGACUACCCGCCGAGUUUAAGCAUAUCAAUAAGCGGAGGA